ACUCCUACGGGAGGCAGCAGUCGAGAAUAAUUCACAAUGGACGAAAGUCUGAUGGUGCAACGCCGCGUGGAGGAUGAAGGUCCUCGGAUUGUAAACUCCUGUCAUCGGGGAGUAAGACCUGGCGGUGAAUAGCCGACAGGGUUGAUAGUACCCGAAGAGGAAGGGACGGCUAACUUCGUGCCAGCAGCCGCGGUAAUACGAAGGUCCCGAGCGUUGUUCGGAAUCACUGGGCGUAAAGGGAGCGUAGGCGGUUCGGUAAGUCAGGUGUGAAAUCCCGGGGCUCAACCCGGAACUGCACCCGAUACUGCCGGACUUGAGUAGUGGAGGGGUAGCCGGAAUUCUCGGUGUAGCAGUGAAAUGCGUGGAUAUCGAGAGGAACACUCGUGGCGAAGGCGGGCUACUGGACACUUACUGACGCUGAGGCUCGAAGGCCAGGGGAGCGAAAGGGAUUAGAUACCCUGGUAGGCUCUGC
rnacentral:rRNA from 1 species